UUUGGGAGUGAGUGAGAGAGAGGGUGAACUCGAACAUCUCUCUGGCUACCUGCAUUGGCCGGGCAUAUUAACUUCACACCUGGAGUGAAAAGGGGAAUGAUUCUUCUCCCUAGUGCACCUGUGAUGCCAAGAGGAAUGAAGAUGUUCCUGUUGAAGUGCUGGUGUAUCACUCUCAGAAACUGAAAUGAAACUAUACAAAUACUGACGGUCGAGAACUGAGAACUGAUCAGCUUUGGAAAGAUAGUCUGGGGCUGUGACACACCAUAUUCCGCCAUCACUGGAUUCCUUCAGGAUUGAAUUCAUUGCAAACUCCGGACACUUUCAGCUGUCAGAGUGAACUUCCACCUCAGCAGGUGCCGAAUGCCAGCAGCAUGCCUGACCAGAGGACAUGAACAUUUCUUACUGCUUCACACAAA